AGACCCGAAACCCGGUGAUCUAGCCAUGGGCAGGUUGAAGGUUGGGUAACACUAACUGGAGGACCGAACCGACUAAUGUUGAAAAAUUAGCGGAUGACCUGUGGCUGGGGGUGAAAGGCCAAUCAAACCGGGAGAUAGCUGGUUCUCCCCGAAAGCUAUUUAGGUAGCGCCUCGUGAAUUCAUCUCCGGGGGUAGAGCACUGUUUCGGCUAGGGGGCCAUCCCGGCUUACCAACCCGAUGCAAACUGCGAAUACCGGAGAAUGUUAUCACGGGAGACACACGGCGGGUGCUAACGUCCGUCGUGAAGAGGGAAACAACCCAGACCGCCAGCUAAGGUCCCAAAGUCAUGGUUAAGUGGGAAACGAUGUGGGAAGGCCCAGACAGCCAGGAUGUUGGCUUAGAAGCAGCCAUCAUUUAAAGAAAGCGUAAUAGCUCACUGGUCGAGUCGGCCUGCGCGGAAGAUGUAACGGGGCUAAACCAUGCACCGAAGCUGCGGCAGCGACGCUGAUGCGUUGUUGGGUAGGGGAGCGUUCUGUAAGCCUGCGAAGGUGUGUCGUGAGGCAUGCUGGAGGUAUCAGAAGU
rnacentral:rRNA from 1 species